AAUGUGCUGAAAGAAAUUUGUAGCACACCGCAUACCGUCUGGCAGGCGUCCCCGAGCUCCGACUCAUCCCAGGCCCGGCUGAGAAUUCGCAGGCCGCUGCUCAUCACUCUGGCAGGCCCGAGCCGCCGGAUGGGGCCCCCUGUCUCUGUUCUCUGUCACCCUGUCAUUCAGAAUUUUUUGUUCUUGUUCUGGUCAGGAAAGAGGAUGUAGGGUGACAUUUGGGAUGCCAUCAUGUCAACACAACGUACAUUGUAAGUAGAAUCAUAUUUAUCACAUAUUUGUCACAAUGAUAUCUCUGCAAAAGUAUAGAAACGAUUGGCCUGAAUUUUUUGUCUUCCUAGAACCUGGUGGUUCCUUGCACAAAGUCUAUAAACGUUAAUAAGAUCCUUGAAGAUGGGGAUAAUUUUUCAUUUUUUUUUCUGUUUCAAAGACCUAGUAAAUAUUUAACAAAUACUUCUGGGAUUGGAUUUGAAUUGAAUUAGGUUCACAUUAAGUCAUUAGAGUAUCACUUAAAAUACCGUCUUUUGCCUAAUAGGCUCUAUCCUAUAAUCCCAUAUUUGGAGUAAAACAGUAACUAAAACAAAAUAUAAUUUCUGCGAUUAAUAAUCUUGAGAUUUAAAUAGUAGAUUAAAGAUACAUAUAUAUGCCAUAUUAUCACAACAGCUCUAUAAAGUAGGCUCUAUUGAUAUGAAUAUCCUAGUUUUAUAGGUGAGAAAGCUGAGGCUAUGUGGUACACUUGGAUUUGGAGUCAGAAGGCUUGGUUUUAAAUUUUACUUCUAACACUUAUCGGCAAGACACAGCCUCUCUUAGUAUCAAUUUCUUCUUCAAAGGUUGCUUCCACAUGUAAAUCUAUGAUUUCAUGAACCUAUGAGGCUCAGAAAGAUUAAAUAACUUCCCCAUGGCCAAACAGCUCAUGACAGAGGUAAGAUUUAUAUCCAGAUUUCUCCUAAUUCCUGGUCCAGCACUCUAUUCUCUAUGAUGCACUGUAACCAUAUGCUAAUGAUCCCAAAUAGUGAGCCAAGUCAUAGGAUUUAUAUACUUUACAAAUAUAGGCCUAAAUGAUCAAAAAGAUCACUUUCUAGUCUACUUAGAUGACAACAGUGUAUUUAUGUUAUUUCCUUCAAAUUGAAUAAAAUGUUUACUUUGUUGUUACUUUCUGUUCA
rnacentral:lncRNA from 1 species